rnacentral:rRNA from 1 species
GAAUGCGACCACUUCAGGCAUCUGACGGUGGUGGAAAGUUCCGGCGGUGAAGGAUGAGCUCGCGGCCUAUCAGCUUGUUGGUGAGGUAAUGGCUCACCAAGGCUUCGACGGGUAGCCGGCCUGAGAGGGUGACCGGCCACACUGGGACUGAGACACGGCCCAGACUCCUACGGGAGGCAGCAGUGGGGAAUAUUGGACAAUGGGCGAAAGCCUGAUCCAGCAACGCCGCGUGAGGGAUGACGGCCUUCGGGUUGUAAACCUCUUUCAGCAGGGACGAAGCGAAAGUGACGGUACCUGCAAAAGAAGCACCGGCCAACUACGUGCCAGCAGCCGCGGUAAUACGUAGGGUGCGAGCGUUGUCCGGAAUUAUUGGGCGUAAAGGGCUCGUAGGCGGUUUGUCACGUCGGGAGUGAAAACUCGGG